rnacentral:rRNA from 1 species
CCUACGGGAGGCGGCAGUAGGGAAUUUUUCACAAUGGGCGAAAGCCUGAUGGAGCAACGCCGCGUGCAGGAUGAAGGCCUUCGGGUUGUAAACUGCUUUUAUAAGCGAGAAAUAUGAUGGUAACUUAUGAAUAAGGAUCGGCUAACUACGUGCCAGCAGCCGCGGUCAUACGUAGGAUCCGAGCAUUAUCCGGAGUGACUGGGUGUAAAGAGUUGCGUAGGUGGCAUAAUAAGUAGCUAGUGAAAUCUGGUGGCUCAACCAUUCAGACUAUUAGCUAAACUGUUAAGCUCGAGACCGUUAGGGGUAACUGGAAUUUCUAGUGUAGGAGUGAAAUCCGUAGAUAUUAGAAGGAACACCAAUAGCGUAGGCAGGUUGCUGGGACGGUUCUGACACUAAGGCACGAAAGCGUAGGGAGCAAACGGGAUUAGAUACCCCUGUAGUC